GGAAUCUUCGGCAAUGGACGAAAGUCUGACCGAGCAACGCCGCGUGAGUGAAGAGGGUUUUCGGAUCGUAAAACUCUGUUGGUAGAGAAGAACGUUGGUGAGAGUGGAAAGCUCAUCAAGUGACGGUAACUACCCAGAAAGGGACGGCUAACUACGUGCCAC
rnacentral:rRNA from 1 species